rnacentral:rRNA from 1 species
CGAUGUCUAGGGGUUCUGAGAGGAAGNUCCCCCACACUGGUACUGAGACACGGACCAGACUCCUACGGGAGGCAGCAGUGAGGAAUAUUGGUCAAUGGGCGAGAGCCUGAACCAGCCAUCCCGCGUGCAGGAAGAAUGCCCUAUGGGUUGUAAACUGCUUUUUCGCAUGAAGAACACCUCUGACGUGUCAGAGGCUGACGGUAAUGCGUGAAUAAGCACCGGCUAACUCCGUGCCAGCAGCCGCGGUAAUACGGAGGGUGCAAGCGUUAUCCGGAUUUAUUGGGUUUAAAGGGUGCGUAGGCGGCGAAUUAAGUCAGUGGUGAAAUCCUGCAGCUCAACUGUAGAACAGCCAUUGAAACUGAUUUGCUUGAGUAAUCUUGAGGUAGGCGGAAUGUGUAGUGUAGCGGUGAAAUGCUUAGAUAUUACACAGAACACCGAUUGCGAAGGCAGCUUACUAAGGAUUUACUGACGCUGAUGCACGAAAGCGUGGGGAUCAAACAGGAUUAGAUACCCUGGUAGUCCACGCCGUAAACGAUGAUAACUCGCUGUUGGCGAUAUACAGUCAGCGGCUUAGCGAAAGCG